GACGAACGCUGGCGGCAUGCCUAAUACAUGCAAGUCGAGCGGAGUUGAUGGAAAGCUUGCUUUCCUGAUGCUUAGCGGCGGACGGGUGAGUAACACGUAGGCAACCUGCCCUCAAGCUUGGGACAACUACCGGAAACGGUAGCUAAUACCGAAUACUUGUUUUCUUCGCCUGAAGAGAACUGGAAAGACGGAGCAAUCUGUCACUUGGGGAUGGGCCUGCGGCGCAUUAGCUAGUUGGUGAGGUAACGGCUCACCAAGGCGACGAUGCGUAGCCGACCUGGGAGGGGGAUCGGCCACACUGGGACUGAGACACGGCCCAGACUCCUACGGGAGGCAGCAGUAGGGAAUCUUCCGCAAUGGGCGAAAGCCUGACGGAGCAAUGCCGCGUGAGUGAUGAAGGUUUUCGGAUCGUAAAGCUCUGUUGCCAGGGAAGAACGCUUGGGAGAGUAACUGCUCUCAAGGUGACGGUACCUGAGAAGAAAGCCCCGGCUAACUACGUGCCAGCCUCCGCAGUAA
rnacentral:rRNA from 1 species